AAUCACCACACAUGCCCAAUAUGCACUUGACCUGUGAGACUCACCUAUGCACAGGGCUGCAUGUGAUUACAUCACAGCCUGAAUAAAAGGUGUGCCUUUGCUGUAUGGAGUUUGUCAUUGGGGCUCAUUCACAUCAUGUUGUAAGAGAAGACUUAAAGAUUUGUCUGUCACCAUCUCUCUGAGUGUGUGAAUCCACUGUGGGGAGCCAUGGAGAAGGUCUUUGCCUACAGAGCAUCUGUCUGAUUUCCUGUAGAAGACCUCUCUGCAAUCCCAGAUACAACUACCAUCAAGUCUGCCACCAUCAAGCCAAGGACAAUCAUCAUGGGACCAGCCAGAGCUCUCCUCCCCACACCCUGCCCCAGAUUACAUCCAGCCUGUGGGUCCAGACUCUGGUCUCCGCUCUUCAUUGACUUCAAGCCUGGGUGUUCAAGGGCCUGGGAACUCCAUGGCCUUAACCUCUUUGUAGGCCCGGGGACCCCUGUGGCAGCUCCUGCUGUCCCAUGCUUCAGACUGUCCUUUCCCAUCCCAAGCAGUGUCCCACGCCUUCCCUAUGGCCCAACACCCACCCUGGCAGCAGUGGCAUGAAGAAAGCAUAGUCAAACUCCUAGUAGAUGCAGGAACCACAACUUCACAUUUGAGAUUCUGUUCUGACUUCCUAUAAUGAUGGACAGUGAUAUGGAUGGGAAAGUGAAAUAAACCCUUUCCUCACCAA